rnacentral:rRNA from 1 species
GCCCUUUGUACACACCGCCCGUCGCUACUACCGAUUGAAUGAUUUAGUGAGGUCUUCGGACUGGUGCGCGGCAAUGUCUCGGCAUUGCCGAUGUUGCCGGGAAGAUGACCAAACUUGAUCAUUUAGAGGAAGUAAAAGUCGUAACAAGGUUUCCGUAGGUGAACCUGCGGAAGGAUCAUUA